GGUUAAGUGAAUAAGGGCGCACGGUGGAUGCCUUGGCACUAGGAGCCGAUGAAGGACGGGACUAACACCGAUAUGCUUUGGGGAGCUGUAAGUAAGCUAUGAUCCAGAGAUUUCCGAAUGGGGGAACCCAAUAUCUUUUAUAGGAUAUUACUUUUCAGUGAAUACAUAGCUGAUUAGAGGUAGACGCAGAGAACUGAAACAUCUUAGUACCUGCAGGAAGAGAAAGAAAAUUCGAUUCCCUGAGUAGCGGCGAGCGAAACGGGAAGAGCCCAAACCAACAAGCUUGCUUGUUGGGGUUGUAGGACUCCAAUAUGGUAGUCUGUUAGUAUAGUUGAAGGAUUUGGAAAAUUCCGCUAAAGAGGGUGAAAGCCCCGUAGACGAAAUGCUGACAACACCUAGGAGGAUCCUGAGUACGGCGGAACACGAGAAAUUCCGUCGGAAUCCGCGGGGACCAUCCCGCAAGGCUAAAUACUCCCUAGUGACCGAUAGUGAACCAGUACCGUGAGGGAAAGGUGAAAAGCACCCCGGAAGGGGAGUGAAAUAGAUCCUGAAACCGUGUGCCUACAACAAGUCAAAGCUCGUUAAUGAGUGAUGGCGUGCCUUUUGUAGAAUGAACCGGCGAGUUACGAUUGCAUGCGAGGUUAAGU
rnacentral:rRNA from 1 species